rnacentral:piRNA from 1 species
UCCUGGCAUGUAAAGGGAUUUUGUGCUG